GCUAGUAUAGUUUAAUCAUAAGAAUUUGUAACUUGUAAUUAUAGGGUAAAAUUAGCA
rnacentral:tRNA from 1 species